rnacentral:rRNA from 1 species
UACGAAGGGGGCUAGCGUUGCUCGGAAUUAUUGGGCGUAAAGAGCGUGUAGGCGGCCGUACAGGUCAGCUGUGAAAACUCGAGGCUCAACCUCGAGACGUCGGUUGAAACCGUACGGCUAGAGUCCGGAAGAGGAGAGUGGAAUUCCCGGUGUAGCGGUGAAAUGCGCAGAUAUCGGGAAGAACACCCGUGGCGAAGGCGGCUCUCUGGGACGGUACUGACGCUGAGACGCGAAAGCGUGGGGAGCAAACAGG